rnacentral:rRNA from 1 species
AUUGAACGCUGGCGGCAGGCCUAACACAUGCAAGUCGAGCGAGAGGCGGACGGGUGAGGAAGGUAUGGGGAAUGCCCGAUAGAGGGGGAUAAAGACGGGAAAAGGUAGCUAAUACCGCAUACUAUCGGAUAACGCAUAUGUGAUGAGCUGGAAGGUGAGGUAAUGGCUCACCUAGGCGACGAUCCCUAGCUGGUCGGAGAGGAUGAUCAGCCACCCUGGGACUGAGACACGGCCCAGACUCCUACGGAGGCAGCAGUGGGGAAUAUUGCACAAUGGGCGCAAGCCUGAUGCAGCCAUGCCGCGUGUAUGAAGAAGGCCUUCGGGUUGUAAAGUACUUUCAGUCGGGAGGCGUUACCUACAGAAGAAGCACCGGCUAACUCCGUGCCAGCAGCCGCGGUAAUAC